UACAGAGGUGGCAAGCGUUGUUCGGAUUUACUGGGCGUAAAGGGUGCGUAGGCGGUCCUGCGUGUCGGGUGUGAAAUCCCACGGAUCAUCCGUGGAACUGCAUUCGAAACUGUAGGGCUGGAGUGCAGGAGAGGAAGGCGGAAUUCUUGGUGUAGCGGUGAAAUGCGUUGAUAUCAAGAGGAACGCCGGAGGCGAAGGCGGCCUUCUGGACUGCAACUGACGCUGAGGCACGAAAGCUAGGGGAGCAAACAGG
rnacentral:rRNA from 1 species